rnacentral:rRNA from 1 species
UACGAAGGGGGCUAGCGUUGCUCGGAAUGACUGGGCGUAAAGGGCGCGUAGGCGGAUGGCACAGUCAGAUGUGAAAUUCCCGGGCUUAACCUGGGGCUGCAUUUGAUACGUGUUGUCUUGAGUUCGGAAGAGGGUCGUGGAAUUCCCAGUGUAGAGGUGAAAUUCGUAGAUAUUGGGAAGAACACCGGUGGCGAAGGCGGCGACCUGGUCCGACACUGACGCUGAGGCGCGAAAGCGUGGGGAGCAAACAGG